rnacentral:rRNA from 1 species
GACGAACGCUGGCGGCGUGCUUAACACAUGCAAGUCGAACGGAAAGGCCCUGCUUUUGUGGGGUGCUCGAGUGGCGAACGGGUGAGUAACACGUGAGUAACCUGCCCUUGACUUUGGGAUAACUUCGGGAAACUGGGGCUAAUACCGGAUAGGAGCUCCUGCUGCAUGGUGGGGGUUGGAAAGUUUCGGCGGUUGGGGAUGGACUCGCGGCUUAUCAGCUUGUUGGUGGGGUAGUGGCUUACCAAGGCUUUGACGGGUAGCCGGCCUGAGAGGGUGACCGGCCACAUUGGGACUGAGAUACGGCCCAGACUCCUACGGGAGGCAGCAGUGGGGAAUAUUGCACAAUGGGCGGAAGCCUGAUGCAGCAACGCCGCGUGCGGGAUGACGGCCUUCGGGUUGUAACCCGCUUUCGCCUGUGACGAAGCGUGAGUGACGGUAAUGGGUAAAGAAGCACCGGCUAACUACGUG